CCUACGGGUGACAGCAGUGAGGAAUAUUGGUCAAUGGACGAGAGUCUGAACCAGCCACGUAGCGUGAAGGAUGACUGCCCUAUGGGUUGUAAACUUCUUUUAUAUGGGAAUAAAAUGUUCCACGUGUGGGAUUUUGUAUGUACCAUAUGAAUAAGGAUCGGCUAACUCCGUGCCAGCAGCCGCGGUAAUACGGAGGAUCCGAGCGUUAUCCGGAUUUAUUGGGUUUAAAGGGAGCGUAGGGGGAUUGUUAAGUCAGUUGUGAAAGUUUGCGGCUUAACCGUAAAAUUGCAGUUGAAACUGGCAGUCUGGAGUACAGUAGAGGUGGGCGGAAUUCGUGGUGUAGCGGUGAAAUGCUUAGAUAUCACGAAGAACUCCGAUUGCGAAGGCAGCUCACUGGACUGCAACUGACACUGAGGCUCGAAAGUGUGGGUAUCAAACAGGAUUAGAUACCCGGGUAGUC
rnacentral:rRNA from 1 species